ACAAGGCCAUGGUCGCCGCAUCCUGACUCAGAAUGAACAAGAUGGGCAAAAGAGAGGAAAAAAGGCCUUGCUUUGCAGAGAGGUACCUGGGAACCUGGGCCCUGGAGAUCAACAAUCUUGGGUUCAAGCCCCGCCCCUGCUUACUAGCUGUGCAACUUUGAGGGUGACUGACUUCAUCUGUAAUGUGGGGCUAAGGCAGCUGCCGCUCUUCCCCCGUCACCCGAUUUCUCGGCCUUUCUGCCAGCACCGACUGGGUGUCAGCCCUGAGUUGGAGCCCUGGUUCUACCACCUGAGAAAGUCAUCGGAUCCAUGGAACCUCAGUUUUCCUCCUCCAUAAAAUGGGGCUAUUGAUAGACAAGCCCUCAUGGGCUGCCCUGAACUCACCUGGGGAUGCUUGGCUCAGGGAGUGGAGAGGCUGGACACUCCAUCCCCGAUCCUCACUGCAGAGAACAGACUCCUGAGCUCCAGAAAGCCUGGGGACUGACCACAGCUCCCCGAGGAGCUCCUGCAGAGCCUGGAAGUCCAGGGCUGAGGCCUGUUACCGUCACAUCACUGUCUCUGCCUCAGCCUGCACAUGGCUUUCCCCUCUUCUGUGUCCCUGCCUUGUCUCCUCUAAGGACACUUUUGAUGACACGGAGACCCCACCUGGGUAAUCUAGGAUGAUCGGAUCUCAGUAUCCUUGACAUCUACAAAGGACCCUUUCUCCAGAUAAGGUCAUAUCCACAGGUUCCAGGGAUAAAGAUGUGGACUUAUCUUUUGGGGGCCGCCAUUCAACCCGGUGCAACCACGAGCGUUAUCACUGCUGUCAGCAUCCUUACAAACAUCAGUUAAGUACUAAUGUACCAGGCUUAGUCUGGGUGCUUUUCCUGUACCAUCUCCUUUAGUCCUUAAGACAAACUUAGGGCAGGUACUGUUAUUAUCCCCAUUUAAUAAGGACAUCGAGGCUCAGGGAGAAGUGAGCCCUUGUCCAGGGUCUCCCUUGAAACCCAGGCAGUCUGAUUUCAGUGUCUCCUGCCUUGCCAUAGUUACCUUGCUCCACCCCAUCCUGUUUCUGAUCAUACAGAUAAUUCCAUGGCAGAAUCAGUGUGGGACAAUGAGCACCCAAAUGGGUGGCAAGGUGCCUGGGUUCUGAUCUAGGUUCUGCCAUUAGACAGAGGCAGAUGCCAGCCGGGUCUCUUCCCCACUCUGGGCCUCAGUGUGCCCAUUGGUAAAAUCGGAAAGUGGUUGGUUUGGAUAAUCUCCAAGAUCCU
rnacentral:lncRNA from 1 species